GGACGAACGCUGGCGGCGUGCUUAACACAUGCAAGUCGAACGGAAAGGCCCUGCUUUUGUGGGGUGCUCGAGUGGCGAACGGGUGAGUAACACGUGAGUAACCUGCCCUUGACUUUGGGAUAACUUCAGGAAACUGGGGCUAAUACCGGAUAGGAGCUCCUGCUGCAUGGUGGGGGUUGGAAAGUUUCGGCGGUUGGGGAUGGACUCGCGGCUUAUCAGCUUGUUGGUGGGGUAGUGGCUUACCAAGGCUUUGACGGGUAGCCGGCCUGAGAGGGUGACCGGCCACAUGGGGACUGAGAUACGGCCCAGACUCCUACGGGAGGCAGCAGUGGGGAAUAUUGCACAAUGGGCGGAAGCCUGAUGCAGCAACGCCGCGUGCGGGAUGACGGCCUUCGGGUUGUAAACCGCUUUCGCCUGUGACGAAGCGUGAGUGACGGUAAUGGGUAAAGAAGCACCGGCUAACUACGUG
rnacentral:rRNA from 1 species